rnacentral:rRNA from 1 species
UGGGGAAUUUUUCGCAAUGGGCGCAAGCCUGACGAAGCAACGCCGCGUGGAGGAUGAAGGUCUUCGGAUUGUAAACUCCUGUCGACCGGGACGAAUGCACUCGACCUAAUACGUCGGAAUGUUGACGGUACCGGUGGAGGAAGCCACGGCUAACUCUGUGCCAGCAGCCGCGGUAAUACAGAGGUGGCAAGCGUUGUUCGGAAUUACUGGGCGUAAAGGGCGCGUAGGCGGCCUUGUAAGUCUUGUGUGAAAGCCCUCGGCUUAACUGAGGAUCUGCACGGGAUACUGCGAGGCUUGAGUUCGGGAGAGGAAAGCGGAAUUCCGGGUGUAGCGGUGAAAUGCGUAGAUAUCCGGAGGAACACCAGUGGCGAAGGCGGCUUUCUGGACCGACACUGACGCUGAGGCGCGAAAGCUAGGGGAGCAAACGGG